rnacentral:rRNA from 1 species
ACUCAAAGGAAUUGACGGGGGCCCGCACAAGCAGCGGAGCGUGUGGUUUAAUUCGAGGCUACACGAAGAACCUUACCUGGGCUUGACAUGACACUAGUAGGGAAGUGAAAGCGGACCGACCCGCAAGGGAGGUGUCACAGGUGCUGCAUGGCUGUCGUCAGCUCGUGCCGUGAGGUGUUAGGUUAAGUCCUGUAACGAGCGCAACCCCCGGAGCCAGUUACACGAUGUCUGGCUCGACUGCCCGUGACAAGCGGGAGGAAGGUGGGGAUGACGUCAAGUCAGCAUGGCCUUUAUGUCCAGGGCUACACACACGCUACAAUGGCCGGUACAAUGGGUUGCCAAGCCGCAAGGCGGAGCCAAUCCUCUCAAAGCCGGUCACAGUUCGGAUUGUGGGCUGCAACCCGCCCACAUGAAGUUGGAGUUGCUAGUAACCGCGCGUCAGCCAUAGUGCGGUGAAUACGUUCCCGGGCCUUGUACACACCGCCCGU